GACGAACGCUGGCGGCGUGCCUAACACAUGCAAGUCGAGCGGAGACAGUGAGUAGCUUGCUAUGAGCUGUUUUAGCGGCGGACGGGUGAGUAACGCGUGAGCAACCUUUCCCAGACAGGGGAAUAACACGCCGAAAGGUGUACUAAUACCGCAUAAGACCACGGGAUCACAUGGUUCUGGGGUAAAAGAUUUAUCGGUUUGGGGUGGGCUCGCGUCCGAUUAGGUAGUUGGUGAGGUAACGGCCCACCAAGCCGACGAUCGGUAGCCGACCUGAGAGGGUGAUCGGCCACAUUGGGACUGAGACACGGCCCAAACUCCUACGGGAGGCAGCAGUGGAGAAUAUUGCACAAUGGGGGAAACCCUGAUGCAGCGACGCCGCGUGAGUGAUGAAGUAUUUCGGUAUGUAAAACUCUAUCAGCAGGGAAGAUAAUGACGGUACCUGACUAAGAAGCACCGGCUAAAUACGUG
rnacentral:rRNA from 1 species